rfam:Kocuria sp. SM24M-10 KSP0061, whole genome shotgun sequence.
GAUGACGAGUCCCGACGCGAAGCUCUGGCUGGUCGGGCGGCAACCCUCUCCCGUAGCGGGGUGCCCCAGAUGAACAUCGGGCCGCGGCGCACCCGCCCCGCGGCAAGUACGGCGC